AUACGUAGGGGGCGAGCGUUGUCCGGAAUGAUUGGGCGUAAAGGGCGCGUAGGCGGCCCGGUAAGUCUGGAGUGAAAGUCCUGCUUUUAAGGUGGGAAUUGCUUUGGAUACUGUCGGGCUUGAGUGGAGGAGAGGUAAGUGGAAUGCAACGUGGAGCGGUGAAAUGCGUAGAGAUUGGGAGGAACACCAGUGGCGAAGGCGACUUACUGGACUGUAACUGACGCUGAGGCGCGAAAGUGUGGGGAGCAAACAGGAUUAGAUACCCUGGUAGUCCACACUGUAAACGAUGAAUGCUAGGUGUAGGGGGUAUCGACCCCUUCUGUGCCGCAGUUAACACAAUAAGCAUUCCGCCUGGGGAGUACGGCCGCAAGGUUGAAACUCAAAUGAAUUGGCGGGG
rnacentral:rRNA from 1 species